AUGCACUUAUUUAUCACUUCUGUUUGUUUAGAUGCCGAUUCAAACAAUCCCACAAGGUAUAUUUUCCUAGUUUUCUUAUGUAAGAACAUUUAUUUACCAGUUUUAGUUUUUGUUUUACUACUUUGCACAUCUUCUCUCAGUUCUCAUUCAGACACAGGACUGCCGGCUUUGCUGAUGCUGAUAAUUCAUGGUGACUACAUAAGAGCGGGUGGUCCUUACUGCAGACACCAGUUUCGUAAUACGUGUGUCCUGGACUCAAUCCUGGCUGCUUUUCACGUUUGUUACAUUAAAUUCCAAAAUGUACGAUUGCUUUUAGAAUCUAACGCCACAUUCAAAGUCAUGAUGUCUUAUUUAAAUGCAGCAAACUAUGAGGACGCAAAAGGCCUAUGGCUGCGAUCGCUGAUAAAGUUUGAUAAAAUUAUUAUUGACAUUUUGGGCACUGUGAAAGAUCAUUUUCCAGUGCUUGCUAAACUGGUGUGUGCUGAAGUCGACUACUUCCAAGAAACACCUGAUGACAGUCCUGUAUAUCAAACAACAAUGAGCAAAUUUCGUGCACUUGGUGACUUGAAGGCUUUGGGCCGUGCAGAUGAUCCCACAAUGAUCCUGGUUGUUCCUAAGGUUGUGAAUCUGCCCCUGCUUGUUGAAGAUGAAAUCAAAAGGACCUUUAAGCUUCAGUUUUUGCUGCUUGGUAAAGAGAAUCACAUGGUCAUGUGUUUCAACUUCUUAGAGAACCUGUGGAUCCUCUAUGAUAACAAUCCAGCGUUGAGGUCUUUUUGUCCUUUCAACUUAGAGGAUCGGAACCGUUAUAUGAUCUGCUGGGCUGGCUACAUCAAUACGACACAAGCUGACGUGCAAAAUAAUGCCUCUCCUGAGACUGGAGUAGGAGCACAACCUUUCAACUGUGGUUCAUUCGGACAGCAAGAGGAUCCUGAAGAGUUCAUGAAAGAGAUACUGGCGAGUUUGGGAGCUCUAGCUUGUGACAGCUCUGGCUCGGAAUAAUGUUCUAAAUCAGAAGUACGCAUCAAAAAACACUGUCUGUGAUUAUAUGAAGUAUAGUUUAUAGUGUAUUUCACUGCAAUAGCAUUAGGACUCCUGGUUGUAACAUGUUUCUUUAUUUGUAUCUGCUGCUGCCUUGUGUUUUUGUGUUUUUCUGUGCGUAGUAUUACUUUUUGCCACCAGAGUAUAUGCUACCAUGCCCAGACCAAUCCAGUAACUUCUGUUAGCCUGUUAGCUUUGUUACAUUUUAUAAAUUUCAGAAAAUAAGGAGUGAGAGCCAUUCUAAGAGGGAGUUAGGGAGGUUUGUGUAUUUUAGUUUAUUUUGUUUCAGAAUUAGGUAGUUGUUUAUCAUUAGAUUUUGUUUGAUGUUCAGACCUGAUGUCAUAUUUUCUACACUAAUUAACUGGUUUACACAGUAAUUACUGUCCUGUGUUUGGUCUGGAUGGGGGUCCAGGAAGAGACUGCACUCUCUCUUUCUCUAUUUAUUGCAGAUCAUAACAAUAGUAUGUUUAAAAUGGUACAAUGCACCACUUGUUUCUACAUUAUAAUACAGUAUAAUUACUUUUUAAGGUAGCACUUUCACUGUAUUUAUUGUUCAGUAUUGUCCAGCUUUUGUGAAAACCUUCUGAAGUGGAUCUCAGACCCUGUUCCGUUCAGUUUGUUGGUUUUGUUUGUUUAAAUACCUCUUUAGAAUGUUUGCACAUUGCCUAAUUGUGAAAUUUUACUAGUUUCAAUGUAAACACAUUUCUCAUGUACAAUACACAAGUGUUGCAUAAUGCCUAUUAAAUGUACAGUAUUUACACAUUUCUCUUUUUAAUGAAUGUAAUAAAAAUAAAUAAGAAGAGAUCUGGACA
ensembl:lncRNA